UGCUUUCAACGCGACCCCAGGUCAGGCGGGG
rnacentral:rRNA from 1 species